GGAGGGAUGGCCGAGUGGUUGAUGGCGCUGGUCUUGAAAACCAGUAUACGUCCUAGACGUAUCGGGGGUUCAAAUCCUCCUCCCUCCG
rnacentral:tRNA from 1 species